rnacentral:tRNA from 1 species
GGAGACGUGGCUGAGUGGUCGAAAGCGGCACCUUGCUAAGGUGUUAACCGGGUAAAACUGGUUCGAGAGUUCGAAUCUCUCCGUCUCCGCCA